rnacentral:rRNA from 1 species
GCAAAGACUACCCCUUGUACCUUUUGCAUCAUGAUUCAGCAAGUAAACUCGAGCGAAGAGACCUCUAGUUUGUACCCCCGAAACUUGACGAGCUACUUCGGGACAGCUUAUACCGAGCCAACCCGUCUCUGUGGCAAAAGAGUGGGAAGAUCCCUGAGUAGAGGCAAAAAACCUACCGAGUCAAGUAAUAGCUGGUUGUCCAAUCAAUGAAUAAAAGUUCAGCCCCGCCCGGCCCCCCUCAAAGCAGUUUGACUAAUAAAGAUACAUGAGCCUUGUGCGGAGGUUAAUCAGAGGAGGUACAGCUCCCCUGAUCAAGGACACAACCUUAUAAGGAGGUUAAAGAAUACAAUUGUUAAGGUCCCAGGUCUCAGUGGGCCUGAAAGCAGCCACCUGAUUAGAAAGCGUUAAAGCUCCGACCUCAUAAUUAAACCUAUUAUUUUAUUUUUUUAUCUUACCCCCUAUCCUCAUUGGACCUCUCUAUGCCUACCAUGGAAGAGAUUAUGCUGAAACGAGUAACAAGAAGAUUGAACUUCUCCACGCACAAGUGUAAGUCGAAUUGGACCAACCACCGACCAUUAACGGACCCAACAAAAGAGGGGCCCACACAUACACCACCCUCAGUCAAGAAAAACGUGUCGGAUUUUACCGUUACCCCCACACAGGAGUGCUAGAACAAGGAAAGACUAAAAGGAAGAAAAGGAACUUCGGCAAGCACAAACCCCGCCUGUUUACCAAAAACACCGCCUUACUUGCGUAUAAAAGUAUAAG